CGGGAAUCUUCCACAAUGGGCGAAAGCCUGAUGGAGCAACGCCGCGUGAGUGAAGAAGGAUUUCGGUUCGUAAAACUCUGUUGUAAGGGAAGAACAAGUAGCGUAGUAACUGGCGCUACCUUGACGGUACCUUAUUAGAAAGCCACGGCUAACUACGUGCCAGCAGCCGCGGUAAUACGUAGGUGGCAAGCGUUGUCCGGAAUUAUUGGGCGUAAAGCGCGCGCAGGUGGUCCUUUAAGUCUGAUGUGAAAGCCCACGGCUCAACCGUGGAGGGUCAUUGGAAACUGGGGGACUUGAGUGCAGAAGAGGAUAGUGGAAUUCCAAGUGUAGCGGUGAAAUGCGUAGAGAUUUGGAGGAACACCAGUGGCGAAGGCGACUAUCUGGUCUGUAACUGACACUGAGGCGCGAAAGCGUGGGGAGCAAAC
rnacentral:rRNA from 1 species